UCCUCGAUGGUCCAGCGGUCAGGAUAUCCGCCUCUCACGUGGAUGGCCCGGGUUCGACUCCCGGUCGAGGAA